rnacentral:lncRNA from 1 species
AAAUUAAAGAAUAUAAUUAUGCGUAAGCCUUAUUUUAGUAUUGGUAUUGUCAUCUGAUAAAGUCAUGCCGAUUAUAAGAUGCACAGUUUUCUCUGCUUUCAACAUCUUUCUGUUUGAACCCGUCGACCUGGAACUUAUCAAUUAUUGGUAUUAUUAUUUAUUUGGAAAACAAAAGGGCCUGGAAAGGAGUAUUUUUUAAUCAACAGCAUUGUCCUUUAUGAGUUAUAAAUAAAGUUGAAUUCUUUGAUUCGCUUUUUUACGUCCUUCCGGCUAACAAAUUGAAAACUGUACAUGCUGUACCUAUAC